rnacentral:rRNA from 1 species
UACGUAGGGGGCAAGCGUUGUCCGGAUUUAUUGGGCGUAAAGAGCGUGUAGGCGGCCAGACAGGUCCGUUGUGAAAACUGGAGGCUUAACCUUCAGACGUCGAUGGAAACCGUCUGGCUAGAGUCCGGAAGAGGAGAGUGGAAUUCCUGGUGUAGCGGUGAGAUGCGCAGAUAUCAGGAAGAACACCCGUGGCUAAGGCGGCUCUCUAGUACGGUACUGACGCUGAGACGCGAAAGCGUGGGGAGCGAACAGG